GGAUCGUCUCUGGCGGGUGCUAUACAUGCAAGUCGAGCGAACAGAAAAGGAGCUUGCUCCUUUGACGUUAGCGGCGGACGGGUGAGUAACACGUGGGCAACCUACCCUAUAGUUUGGGAUAACUCCGGGAAACCGGGGCUAAUACCGAAUAAUCUCUUUUGCUUCAUGGUGAAAGACUGAAAGACGGUUUCGGCUGUCGCUAUAGGAUGGGCCCGCGGCGCAUUAGCUAGUUGGUGAGGUAACGGCUCACCAAGGCGACGAUGCGUAGCCGACCUGAGAGGGUGAUCGGCCACACUGGGACUGAGACACGGCCCAGACUCCUACGGGAGGCAGCAGUAGGGAAUCUUCCACAAUGGGCGAAAGCCUGAUGGAGCAACGCCGCGUGAGUGAAGAAGGUUUUCGGAUCGUAAAACUCUGUUGUAAGGGAAGAACAAGUACAGUAGUAACUGGCUGUACCUUGACGGUACCUUAUUAGAAAGCCACGGCUAACUACGUGCCAGCAGCCGCGGUAAUACGUAGGUGGCAAGCGUUGUCCGGAAUUAUUGGGCGUAAAGCGCGCGCAGGCGGUCCUUUAAGUCUGAUGUGAAAGCCCACGGCUCAACCGUGGAGGGUCAUUGGAAACUGGGGGACUUGAGUGCAGAAGAGGAAAGUGGAAUUCCAAGUGUAGCGGUGAAAUGCGUAGAGAUUUGGAGGAACACCAGUGGCGAAGGCGACUUUCUGGUCUGUAACUGACGCUGAGGCGCGAAAG
rnacentral:rRNA from 1 species